rnacentral:rRNA from 1 species
AUUGAACGCUGGCGGCAUGCUUUACACAUGCAAGUCGAACGGUAACAGGGUGCUUGCACCGCUGACGAGUGGCGAACGGGUGAGUAAUGCGUCGGAACGUGCCGAGUAGUGGGGGAUAACGCAGCGAAAGUUGUGCUAAUACCGCAUACGUACUGAGGUAGAAAGUGGGGGACCUUCGGGCCUCACGCUAUUCGAGCGGCCGACGUCUGAUUAGCUAGUAGGUGAGGUAAAGGCUCACCUAGGCGACGAUCAGUAGCAGGUCGGAGAGGAUGGUCCGGCACACUGGGACGGAGACACGGCCCAGACUCCGACGGGAGUCAGCAGUGGGGAAUUUUGGACAAUGGGCGAAAGCCUGAUCCAGCCAUGCCGCGUGUCUGAAGAAGGCCUUCGGGUUGUAAAGGACUUUUGUCAGGGAGGAAAUCCCUAGCGUUAAUACCGCUGGGGGAUGACAGUACCUGAAGAAUAAGCACCGGCUAACUACGUGCCAGCCGCCGCAGUAAGAC